CUGUUUGCUCCCUACGCUUUCGUGACUCAGCGUCAGUCUUGACCCAGAAGUUCGCCUUCGCCUCCGGUAUUCUUUCUGAUAUCAACAGAUUCCACCCUUACACCAGAAAUUCUAACUUCCUCUAUCAGACUCUAGACAUAUAGUUUCCAACAUAGGUCCACAGUUGAGCUGUGGUAUUUUAUGCAUAGACUUAUAUAUCCGCCUACUCACCCUUUACGCCCAAUAAUCCCGAACAACGCUCGCCCCUUACGUAUUACCGCGGCUGCUGGCACGUAAUUAGCCGGGGCUUAUUCAUAAAUUAACGUCAUCACUUUGUCAUUUCCUACAAAGCUUAUUCCUCAUUUAUAAAAGAAUUUUACAAUCUUUCGACCUUCUUCAUUCACGCAGUGUCGCUCCGUCAGGCUUUCGCCCAUUGCGGAAGAUUCUUAGCUGCUGCCUCCCGUAGGAGUCUGGACCGUAUCUCAGUUCCAGUGUGACCGUUCACCCUCUCAGGCCGGUUACUUAUCAUUGCCUUGGUAGGCAUUUACCCUACCAACUAGCUAAUAAGACGCAGACUCAUCUACAAGCGAAGCUUUAAAGGCUUCCUUUCAUCAAUUAACAAAUUAACUGACCUUAUUCGGUAUUAGCUACUAUUUCUAAUAGUUAUCCCCAUCUCAUAGGUAGAUCAUCCACGCGUUACUCACCCGUUCGCCACUGAAUGUAUUGCUACAUCCCGUUUGACUUG
rnacentral:rRNA from 1 species